rnacentral:rRNA from 1 species
UACAGAGACUGCAAGCGUUAUUCGGAUUCACUGGGCGUAAAGGGUGCGCAGGCGGCCAAGUGUGUCAGGUGUGAAAUCCCGAGCUUAACCUCGGAACUGCGCCUGAAACUACUUGGCUAGAGUACUGGAGAGGGUAACGGAAUUCACGGUGUAGCAGUGAAAUGCGUAGAUAUCCGGAAGAACACCAGUGGCAAAGGCGGCCCGCUGGGCAGUGGCUGACGCUGAGGCG